UUCCAGUCGAAUAAUGGAAAAUGGAAUGAACUGUCGUUAGUUUUUGUUUUUCGUUACUUAUUAUUGGAAAAUUGUGUUUCGGAUGUGUUAUAUAAUGAUCGUGGAAUUAAAUCAUCUCAAUUUGAAAAGUGAUCGAAUCAAGAUGGACGAAUGUAAUCCUAAUUAAUGCCUAUGACUAUGAGACCCCGAAGCUUAUGGUCUGGAUAACAAUAUCUUCUGCAGUCUGCCUGUACACCGAUCUUAGAUCAUCGAAGAUGGACGAAUGUAAUCCUAAUCAAUACCAAGAGCUCAAGAUCUUGAAAAACUUUCCAAGACUCUUCCAUUCAUGGAUAAAGAUAUCUCAGUCUUCGCCGGAAAAUCAUUCAAGAUGAACGAACGCAUAAUCUCGAUCGAUACCAAGAACUCGUAAUCUCGAAAAACUUCCCCAUGCUUCGUACAUUUUCCAUCGCGAGCUCUACAAAACCAUGGAAAAUUCAAAGCGAACGCGUCUAUACAGAAUUGCACAAGAAAAGCUCUCCCUCUCAAGUAGUUUUGAGGCAGAAGAUUAACUAUUUACUUUCAACACAAAUGUAAAGUUUUUGACGAAAAAAUGGAGUAUAUUUCCAGACGAUUAAGUAGGUAAAUAACGUCGAAUUUUAUCGUUUCGAUCACAAAUUCAAGCAACAACUUCCAAAUCAGAGGAAUCUUCUUCAUCGUCGGAUGUGUAAUGCGAAUGUGACAACGAAGUCAUAUCCUGGGCAGUAGGACCCGAUAAGAAGAUGAUCAAAUUAUUGUGCCAAGGAACCGGGACUUUGUAAUGAACGAUGUCGAAUCCUGCCGAAUCCAUUGAAAUUAAUCUGGAAAAAAGUACUUAUGCGAAGAGCUCGUAUACAAUGAAAGCGAUAGAUGGAUGCUAUAUUAUCGGCGCUGAUCUCGAUACGAAUCGACGAAUGCGAGCAAAGAAAAGAGGUCGAAGAAGAGAAGAAAAAAAAUAAAGAAAAACAGAAUAAACCGCGACGCGAUAUGAAAAGAAGGGAAUUGUCUCUGAGUCUACAAUGUGUGCUCUAUCACGUGUCUAUGGGUACCUUUGGCUUGGGCUUUUGUGAUGAUGAAAUUCGAUGACGAUGAUCAUGGGCAGUAUCGAGUCGAGUAGGUAUGUGCUGAUGAAUGCAGUUUUGCAGAUGCUGAAUUCGAGAUCAGGUAGGAUAUUGGUUCUGGGCGAUUUGGUAUUAGAUAUAGAUUUUUUGAAAAUUGAAUGACCAACAUUUGAGUAAAUCAUAUAAUACGAGUACUUA